rnacentral:rRNA from 1 species
GAGUUUGAUCCUGGCUCAGAACGAACGCUGGCGGCGUGCCUAACACAUGCAAGUCGAACGUGAUCCAGAGCUUGCUCUGGUGAAAGUGGCGCACGGGUGAGUAACGCGCGGAUAACCUACCCUGGUAUCCGGGAUAACAUUCCGAAAGGGGUGCUAAUACCGGAUAAGCCCACGGGCUCUUUGGAGCUUGCGGGAAAAGGUGGCCUCUAUUUAUAGGCUACUGUAUCAGGAUGGGUCCGCGUACCAUUAGCUAGUUGGUGGUGUAACGGUCCACCAAGGCGACGAUGGUUAGCUGGUCUGAGAGGAUGAUCAGCCACACUGGAACUGAGACACGGUCCAGACUCCUACGGGAGGCAGCAGUGGGGAAUUUUGCGCAAUGGGGGAAACCCUGACGCAGCAACGCCGCGUGAGUGAUGAAGGCCUUUGGGUCGUAAAGCUCUGUCAGAGGGGAAGAAAUGAUAUAGUGCUAAUACCACUUUAUCUUGACGGUACCCUCAAAGGAAGCACCGGCUAACUCCGUGCCAGCAGCCGCGGUAAUAC